rnacentral:misc_RNA from 1 species
GAAAUGCGAUAAGUAAUGUGAAUUGCAGAAUUCAGUGAAUCAUCGAAUCUUUGAACGCACCUUGUGCUCCUUGGUAUUCCUUGGAGCAUGCCUGUUUGAGUAUCAUGAAAUCUUCAAAGUAAAUCUUUUGUUAACUCAAUUGGUUUCUACUUUGGUAUUGGAGGUCUUUGCAGCUUCACACCUGCUCCUCUUUGUUCAUUAGCUGGAUCUCAGUGUUAUGCUUGGUUCCACUCGGCGUGAUAAGUUAUCUAUCGCUGAGGACACUGUAAAAGGUGGCCAAGGUAAAUGCAGAUGAACCGCUUCUAAUAGUCCAUUGACUUGGACAAUACUUUUAUGAUCUGAUCUCAAAUCAGGUAGGACUACCCGCUGAACUUAAGCA